UGUGGCAUCUGUGGUCGAUGUCCGGGUCGGUCUGCAGGCCGGGAGUGCAAGUCAAGUCAAGUCCUCCUGAAGCACGAAAACCAGUUGAGCUCCAUCCGGACCAGACCUUGACCCCGAUGCCCCCCUUAGCCUCAGCAUUACAGUUACACUUUGUGAUGUUUUUGUCCAGAAGACUUUCGUCGUGUCCUCACAACAGUAAAUCACAUCUGGACGACAUCACGUGACGUCCGGCAGCAACAGUAGAGAAACGGCGCAGAGACCGGACUGAAGAGCGGCUGCCCCCGACACACACGAUGCGUCAAUCAACAGAAGCCAGUGAGGACUUUCCCAAACACACCUGUUAAUCAGCGUCAGACAUCCCCCCCACCAGACACCGGCCACUCAAAUGACCCCCCCCACUUCUUUCCUCUUCUCCUGGAAAACACUCGGCAACUAUGUUAAGAAAAGUUCUACACAAAUAAAGUGGAUCAUUAUUCUUAUUUUGGUUGUGUUUUAAAUAUUAAUGUACGGUUGAAGUGUGUGUUGGUAGUGACUUGUGUUAAUGCAGCUAAAAUACCAAUAAAGUUCCUUAAAUCGGGGGGGGCGGUUUCUCUGUAGCGACGAAACUACGUGAAGUUUAAAACCGAUUUUUCCGAGCAGUUUUUCAAAGCGAAACAGGAACAAACAGAGCUGGAGGACUGCUGAGGACACGCGAUGUCGUCAGACUUUUCUGGGAAAUUGAGGGGAAUUCACACGCUGGAUUUAAAAAUGCACACGUUGUUUAUUUCAGCAUUUACGACCCCGAAUCAUUGCUGGCGGCAUGUGAGGUGGAAUGAAAGGUCAAACAGAGGCAGUGACCUGAGACAUGACCUUUAGCUGCUGUUGAUUCCCAGGAGUUUCAGGACAAAGGCUGCAAAUGCAAAACAAAACAGGGAUCAUCCGAGUGUUGAGAUGUGUGGGGGCCUCAGUAUUUCUGAAGUCCUGGCUAAGAAAUGAUCUUUUGAAUAUUAAAUAUCAAGUUGUUUU